CGGCAGGCCUAACACAUGCAAGUCGAACGGUAACAGGAAGCAGCUUGCUGUUUCGCUGACGAGUGGCGGACGGGUGAGUAAUGUCUGGGAAACUGCCUGAUGGAGGGGGAUAACUACUGGAAACGGUAGCUAAUACCGCAUAACGUCGCAAGACCAAAGAGGGGGACCUUCGGGCCUCUUGCCAUCGGAUGUGCCCAGAUGGGAUUAGCUAGUAGGUGGGGUAACGGCUCACCUAGGCGACGAUCCCUAGCUGGUCUGAGAGGAUGACCAGCCACACUGGAACUGAGACACGGUCCAGACUCCUACGGGAGGCAGCAGUGGGGAAUAUUGCACAAUGGGCGCAAGCCUGAUGCAGCCAUGCCGCGUGUAUGAAGAAGGCCUUCGGGUUGUAAAGUACUUUCAGCGGGGAGGAA
rnacentral:rRNA from 2 species